AAGGAUCAUUACAGAGCGUGAGACUCUGCCCGGGCUUGCCCCGCGCGCAGAGUUGACCCUCCACCCGUGUUGACUUAUCUCAUGUUGCUUUGGCGGGCCAGGUGCCUCGCGCGCCGGCCGGCUCUGUGCUGGCUCGUGUCCGCCAAAGACCCAACCUAACUCGUGUUGUCGUGUAGUCUGAGGAAAACUAUUUGAAUUGUUAAAACUUUCAACAACGGAUCUCUUGGCUCUGGCAUCGAUGAAGAACGCAGCGAAAUGCGAUACGUAAUGUGAAUUGCAGAAUUUAGUGAAUCAUCGAAUCUUUGAACGCACAUUGCGCCCCUUGGCAUUCCGAGGGGCAUGCCUGUUCGAGCGUCGUCACACCCCCUCAAGCCGCGCCGUGUGUGUGGUUUGGUGUUGGGGCUCGCCCGUCGGGCGGCCCUUAAAGACAGUGGCGGUGCCGUGGUGGUCUCUACGCGUAGUACGAUUCUCGCGACAGAGCUGCUGUGGCCGCUUGCCAAUCAAUCCAUCAUCUCAAGGUUGACCUCGAAUCAGGUAGKGAUACCCGCUGAACUUAA
rnacentral:rRNA from 1 species